rnacentral:rRNA from 1 species
UACGAAGGGGGCUAGCGUUGUUCGGAAUCACUGGGCGUAAAGCGCACGUAGGCGGAUUUUUAAGUCAGGGGUGAAAUCCCGGGGCUCAACCUCGGAACUGCCUUUGAUACUGGAGAUCUUGAGUCCGGAAGAGGUAAGUGGAACUGCGAGUGUAGAGGUGAAAUUCGUAGAUAUUCGCAAGAACACCAGUGGCGAAGGCGGCUUGCUGGUCCGGAACUGACGCUGAGGUGCGAAAGCGUGGGGAGCAAACAGG